ACGACUUUCGGCAACGGAUAUCUCGGCUCUCGCAUCGAUGAAGAACGUAGCGAAAUGCGAUACCUGGUGUGAAUUGCAGAAUCCCGCGAACCAUCGAGUCUUUGAACGCAAGUUGCGCCCGAGGCCAUUCGGCCGAGGGCACGCCUGCCUGGGCGUCACGC
rnacentral:rRNA from 2 species